rfam:Operophtera brumata OBRT01_Sc00062, whole genome shotgun sequence.
CGUUCUAUUGCCGAAUUGGUAAAGGCAUCGCCGAUCACAGGCGAGGGUGCGGGUUCGAGUCCCGCUGGAACGA